AUAAUACUCCCUCCAUUGGGAAAUACUUGUCAUAGAAAUGGAUACAAACGGGUGUAUCUAGAACUAAAAUACAUCUAGAUACAUUCCUUUGUUGGACAAGUAUUUUCGGACAGAGGGAGUAGAUC
rfam:Triticum aestivum genome assembly, contig: Triticum_aestivum_CS42_TGACv1_scaffold_640763_T_5DL-0.089513_1AL-0.060792